UACGUAGGGGGCAAGCGUUGUCCGGAAUCAUUGGGCGUAAAGCGCGUGUAGGCGGCUGACUAAGUCCGCUCUGAAAGCCCGGGGCUCAACCCCGGGAGGCGGGUGGAUACUGGUCAGCUCGAGUCCGGAAGAGGAGUGUGGAAUUCCUGGUGUAGCGGUGAAAUGCGCAGAUAUCAGGAGGAACACCAAUGGCGAAGGCAGCACUCUGGGACGGUACUGACACUGAGGAGCGAAAGCGUGGGGAGCGAACAGG
rnacentral:rRNA from 1 species